rnacentral:rRNA from 1 species
GAUGAACGCUAGCUACAGGCUUAACACAUGCAAGUCGAGGGGCAGCAUGGUCUUAUCUUGCUAAGGCCGAUGGCGACCGGCGCACGGGUGAGUAACACGUAUCCAACCUGCCGUCUACUCUUGGACAGCCUUCUGAAAGGAAGAUUAAUACAAGAUGGCAUCAUGAGUCCGCAUGUUCACAUGAUUAAAGGUAUUCCGGUAGACGAUGGGGAUGCGUUCCAUUAGAUAGUAGGCGGGGUAACGGCCCACCUAGUCUUCGAUGGGUAGGGGUUCUGAGAGGAAGGUCCCCCACAUUGGAACUGAGACACGGUCCAAACUCCUACGGGAGGCAGCAGUGAGGAAUAUUGGUCAAUGGGCGAGAGCCUGAACCAGCCAAGUAGCGUGAAGGAUGACUGCCCUAUGGGUUGUAAACUUCUUUUAUAAAGGAAUAAAGUCGGGUAUGGAUACCCGUUUGCAUGUACUUUAUGAAUAAGGAUCGGCUAACUCCGUGCCAGCAGCCGCGGUAAUACGGAGGAUCCGAGCGUUAUCCGGAUUUAUUGGGUUUAAAGGGAGCGUAGAUGGAUGUUUAAGUCAGUUGUGAAAGUUUGCGGCUCAACCGUAAAAUUGCAGUUGAUACUGGAUAUCUUGAGUGCAGUUGAGGCAGGCGGAAUUCGUGGUGUAGCGGUGAAAUGCUUAGAUAUCACGAAGAACUCCGAUUGCGAAGGCAGCCUGCUAAGCUGCAACUGACAUUGAGGCUCGAAAGUGUGGGUAUCAAACAGGAUUAGAUACCCUGGUAGUCCACACGGUAAACGAUGAAUGCUCGCUGUUUGCGAUAUACAGCAAGCGGCCAAGCGAAAGCGUUAAGUAUUCCACCUGGGGAGUACGCCGGCAACGGUGAAACUCAAAGGAAUUGACGGGGGCCCGCACAAGCGGAGGAACAUGUGGUUUAAUUCGAUGAUACGCGAGGAACCCUACCCGGGCUUAAAUUGCAGAUGAAUUACGGUGAAAGCCGUAAGCCGCAAGGCAUCUGUGAAGGUGCUGCAUGGUUGUCGUCAGCUCGUGCCGUGAGGUGUCGGCUUAAGUGCCAUAACGAGCGCAACCCUUGUUGUCAGUUACUAACAGGUUCCGCUGAGGACUCUGACAAGACUGCCAUCGUAAGAUGUGAGGAAGGUGGGGAUGACGUCAAAUCAGCACGGCCCUUACGUCCGGGGCUACACACGUGUUACAAUGGGGGGUACAGAGGGUCGCUACCACGCGAGUGGAUGCCAAUCCCCAAAACCUCUCUCAGUUCGGACUGGAGUCUGCAACCCGACUCCACGAAGCUGGAUUCGCUAGUAAUCGCGCAUCAGCCACGGCGCGGUGAAUACGUUCCCGGGCCUUGCACU